rnacentral:rRNA from 1 species
CCCGUUGUACACACCGCCCGUCACACCAUGGGAGUGGGUUGUACCAGAAGUAGGUAGAAUAACCGCAAGGGGUUCGCUUACCACGGUAUGAUUCAUGACUGGGGUG